CGGCUUCUCUGCAUCACAGGUGUGUGUGUGUGUUUAAACUCCAAAAGUCCACUAAUAAUUUCAGGUUAUUUUGACAUUCUUCCUUCUCUAGCCGGACUCCAAAUCUUGUCAUUUUUUCCCUUCAUGUUCUCUCUUCAUCUAUUCCUUUCCAUUCUCACUGCUACCUCACUAACUAAUGCACUCUUGAGUGUAUCCUAUGCCAUUUCCUGUAGACUUUCCCUACCACCAGUGUAAUACCACUAUAUACCACAACUAGAUUAAUCAUACUCAGAUAUCCUUUUGAUUGCUUCAUCCC
rnacentral:lncRNA from 1 species